rnacentral:rRNA from 1 species
UACGAAGGGUGCAAGCGUUACUCGGAAUUACUGGGCGUAAAGCGUGCGUAGGUGGUUGUUUAAGUCUGUUGUGAAAGCCCUGGGCUCAACCUGGGAACUGCAGUGGAAACUGGAUGACUAGAGUGUGGUAGAGGGUAGCGGAAUUCCCGGUGUAGCAGUGAAAUGCGUAGAGAUCGGGAGGAACAUCCAUGGCGAAGGCAGCUACCUGGGCCUGUACUGACGCUCAUGCACGAAAGCGUGGGGAGCAAACAGG